ACCGCAUUGUGUGGGGGUCUGGAAUCUUCUGGACUCCUGGGAGCCCAAUCCGCUUGCCUCUUGUACCCCUCUUGCAGAGCAAUGAGGUGCAGGAGCAGGGACCAUCCUGGAGGCAAAGGGAACAGCCGAGCACAAGCCCGAAGAUGCCACCCUAAGAGAGGUUCCAGAGUUCCCUAUAGCUCCUCCCUCUGUUGUCCUGGCGGUGAGCUACUGGGUAAGGGUGAAACCCUUAGUCUCUUGUUUAUCGGCAGCAGGUCUGCAGCCUAGAGCCAGGGGCUGCUGGACUCCUGGGAUGGCUAUUUAUUUAUGGGGUGGGGUGAGGGGUGGGGAUGGGAUGAGAGAGGCUGCUUUCCUGGGCCUACAAUUGGAGUUCCCUUCUCCUUGCCAUCCCCAGAAACUCCAAGAGCUGACCCUCUGUCUUACUAACUCAAACGGCCCAGAAACAUCAAAGUCUGACCAAAAACCGUUAAUGGUAGUCAGCUCCCUCCCUUUCACAGAGGUCUCACUACUGUCGGGGGGCGCCGGGCGCAGGCCGGGCAUGGGGCCUGAGCUUAGGCCAGGUGGAAAGGUGGAAGGACCUAGUUGGGACAGACGAAGAGACCGAGGAGCCGCCCGCCCGGCUAAAUGGACACAGGAAAGGCCUGAGUCAGGCUUCUCAUAAUAAAUAAACUGCACGUGAAUAAUUCAGCAGUCGCGCGGGGGCCGGUUGCAUUAGCGCCGCCGCCGACCCGCGGCGCCCAAUUCCCCGCGGAGGGGAGUAGCCAAUUAAGGCACUUGAAAAGGGAGUCGGGUAGAAGAUCCCCCGCCCACCAGUAUCCUGGAUUUACCCAGGUCGAGUUCAGAGAGCCUCCCCGGUCCCAACCCCCUCGGGCCCCAUGGGUCAGGGGGCCGCCUGCUGGGAAGCGCUACCUCAGCUAAGCCGCUCAGGUGUCCCGAGACUCCGGGCAAGGGAAGACAGGCGGCGAGACGGAGCCAGAAUAAGGGAUGCGGACGUCUGACCUGUGGAAAACCCAGCAUCUGCAGUGCCCAGCCGCACAGGGAACGUGGGCGGCGUGGUUCCAAGCAAAGUGAAGACGCCAGGCUCGGAUCUGUGCUCAGAGCCGGGAUCCCUCCGGGCUGCUUCGUCCUGGCCAGGACUUUCCUUGCCCUGAAGUGAGGCGCCAGGGAAGCUGCAGGGCCCUCCGCCCUCUCUGAACUCCCACGUACUUGGGCCUCUCCCAGCCUUUCUUGGACCUGUGGAUGCAAUUCCUGCAGGACCAGACUCCCCUGUCUCCCCGCGGCCCCCUAGGUACACUCCGUAACUUCCGAAACCUUAUUUCGUUUGCGCGAAACCCGGCCCCUUUGGCUCUUCCCACUUCCCACAAGUCCCUGGGUUCCCGAUCCUGAGGGAUUGCAUUCAUCCCAUCUCACACCCACCAACGCUCAAUCCCUCCAGUUCCUCCCCAGCCCCCUCACUUCCAUUAAUUAGGUCGACUCCCUUCCUUCGCCGCCCCCUCCUGUCCCCACUCAGCCUCCCUACACCUAUGCGGCGAGCCUCGGGCCAAGACCUCCGCCCUGGCUCCGCCAGUCCUGCGGGGGCCGGCAUGCACCAGACCUCAAAAGGGAUCUUCACGGGAAUUCCGCAUAGCCAGAUCCCAAGCCUCCAGGGAGGCCACCAGCCCUCCCCCAUCUUCUUCUUCCUCCUCCGUCUCCUUUCCUCUUCCCUCCGCCUCUACGUAUUUCUUUCUAUUCGUUUCUUUUCGUUUGGUGAGGUGCCACCCGCCACAGCCCUGUCCUCUAGGGAGAGGCCUGGACUAACUUUGCCGUCCUCGUGGCCUUAGCCCGGACUGUGAGUCUCGAGCGGCUUCCGAGAGGCAGCUCGGGUGUCUUCGCAGAGACAGGUGAGGUGGGCUGGCGAUUGCCUAGCCUCAGAUGGCUCUGCCACCAGCCAGCUCUGUGAUCCUGGCCGAUGGGGUGCCAGGCAUUAGAAACCUUCCCUCCAAUCCUCACCAUGUCUCCAUUUUGCCAAAGAAGAAACUGAGGUUAAGGUCGCGA